rnacentral:rRNA from 1 species
AGUUCACUAUCGGCGUCUCACCAUUGCGGAGUGGAAGCAUGUUGAGGAGUGUCUAGAGAAACGACUGAGCAGUUGGAAAGGUUAUUUUCCGUUGUACGCACUCACUUCGUACGUGGUCUACGCUACAACAGGCGGAGCACCAACCGCUGUUCAAGGCGGUGUGUACGCGGUUGGAGCAGGCGGCUAUGGAGGUUUUUUCCCAACAUGUGUGGCAGCAUAACCUCCGGAUCCAUCCACCGCCGAGUUCGACAUAGGCAAAGUGUCGGUCAAUAGGACUCUACUGUUGUCGUAUUGUCGGUUUUCUUACUUUUUCUAGUGUCAGACUUUGGUGUUUGGCUGUGUGCAUCCUAGUUAUGCAGAGGCCGGGUGUUACUCAUAAUGUUUUGUAUCCGCUUGAUGCUACAUUUGAGAUAAUAAAAUCGCCCUUUAUCGAAA